UACGUAGGGGGCAAGCGUUGUUCGGAAUUACUGGGCGUAAAGCGCGCGUAGGCGGAUUGGCAAGUCAGAUGUGAAAGCCCCGGGCUCAACUUGGGAACUGCAUUUGAUACUGCCAGACUAGAGUACAGAAGAGGUGACUGGAAUUCCCAGUGUAGCGGUGAAAUGCGUAGAUAUUGGGAGGAACACCAGAUGCGAAGGCGGGUCACUGGGCUGAUACUGACGCUGAGGCGCGAAAACCAGGGGAGCGAACGGG
rnacentral:rRNA from 1 species